UCUUCUAUUAAUAUUAAGCCUCUUCGUCUUGCUCUUUAGCAAAGAAUCUUAGAGGUUGAUCCAUGGCUGAUAUCAAUAUCCAGGGAAAAAAAAAAGGAAAAGCAAAAAUCUUUUUUUGGAAAAAAGGGUAAUGAGAGAACUCAUUACAAGGACUAGGUAGAAAUUAUGAAAUCUUGCUUUCUUUUUCAGACAUCCCACAUG
rnacentral:misc_RNA from 1 species